UACGUAAAUCUUCCGCGUCGCUACGUGACGUCAGUGCGAGCGACCCCGGGCCGGCUGCGUGGAGCUGGCGCUGCCUCUCCUGAAGCCGAGGCGCUAACUUGAGUGAAGAGGUCUAUAGGCUUUUUCACUUUUGGUUAUCUGCUCAGGCGCUCCUUGGGGUCGCGCAUGGUCUCGGACAGGGUUUGCAAGGACUUCGGAGCUAACCAGUUUGGAGCCAUAACCCUUUCGUACUUGCCAAAAAACUCUGGGCAAGACUCUUGAAUUUUGAGCCGCAGUAUUCUCGUUCAUAAGGUUAUACAUCACCUGAUUUUGAAAGGAAGAUGUCUUACCCAGGAUAACUUAGAUCUCGAAGUCUCCUUAUCUCAUUAUUGAAUAUGAACCUACACAAACUUUUUACCUUGUGAUUUGUAUCCACAUCCAAAUUACUCUGUUAGAAUCUGAUUAAAUUAUUUUUGUUUUUCUUGGGAUCUGACUUUUGGGAGGCUUUAAGUGAUUAUGAUUGCACUUCCCUCCACCUGGAAACCACCUCUUCCUUCUCUGAUC
rnacentral:lncRNA from 1 species